rnacentral:rRNA from 1 species
GAUGAACGCUAGCUACAGGCUUAACACAUGCAAGUCGAGGGGAAACGAUAGAGAAAGCUUGCUUUUCUAGGCGUCGACCGGCGCACGGGUGAGUAACGCGUAUCCAACCUGCCCAUCACUUGGGGAUAACCUUGCGAAAGUAAGACUAAUACCCAAUGAUAUCUCUAGAAGACAUCUGAAAGAGAUUAAAGAUUUAUCGGUGAUGGAUGGGGAUGCGUCUGAUUAGCUUGUUGGCGGGGUAACGGCCCACCAAGGCGACGAUCAGUAGGGGUUCUGAGAGGAAGGUCCCCCACAUUGGAACUGAGACACGGUCCAAACUCCUACCGGGAAGGGCGAGCAGU